AACGAACGCUGGUGGCGUGUUUUAUACAUGCAAGUCGAGCGAGGACGGUAGCAAUACCGAGCCGAGCGGCGAACGGGUGAGUAACGCGUAAGCAAUCUGCCCCACAAUCGGGAACAACCGUGCCAACGCGCGGCUAAUGCCGGAUAUUGUAGUCUACUGCAUAGUAGGCCAACGAAAGAUUUAUUGUUGUGGGAUGAGCUUGCGUCCGAUUAGCUAGUUGGCGGGGUAAUAGCCCACCAAGGCGACGAUCGGUAGCCGGCCUGAGAGGGUGAUCGGCCACAUUGGGACUGAGAUACGGCCCAGACUCCUACGGGAGGCAGCAGUAGGGAAUAUUGCGCAAUGGGGGGAACCCUGACGCAGCAACGCCACGUGUGGGAAGAAGCAUUUCGGUGUGUAAACCACUGUCGGAAAGGAAUAACGGAAGACUUCGGCUUUAUGAAUGUACUUUUAGAGGAAGCACCGGCAAACUUCGUG
rnacentral:rRNA from 1 species